GAUCCAGGCAGGAAGUGACAUAGCAA
rnacentral:piRNA from 1 species